rnacentral:lncRNA from 1 species
UCACCCAUCAAUUUUUCGAGCCUUGUUCAAGCCAUUCCAAGCAUACCCAAGCAUCAAGGAUCACGUAUUAGGAGGCUUGGUGCACUCGGAGCACGAAGGACCUUUUUCUCUAGCUUUUAUCCACCACAUUCGCGUCUAGAUUCUUCCCUAGCCUCGAGCUAGUGAAAUUAGUGAUAUUCGUGGAUGAUUAUUGUUGAUAAGUGUUACGACGUUAAAUAAGCAAACCCGGUGAAGUUUACGACGC